rnacentral:rRNA from 1 species
GCGGGCGUAGCAAUACGUCAGCGGCAGACGGGUGAGUAACGCGUGGGAACGUACCUUUUGGUUCGGAACAACACAGGGAAACUUGUGCUAAUACCGGAUAAGCCCUUACGGGGAAAGAUUUAUCGCCGAAAGAUCGGCCCGCGUCUGAUUAGCUAGUUGGUGAGGUAAUGGCUCACCAAGGCGACGAUCAGUAGCUGGUCUGAGAGGAUGAUCAGCCACAUUGGGACUGAGACACGGCCCAAACUCCUACGGGAGGCAGCAGUGGGGAAUAUUGGACAAUGGGCGCAAGCCUGAUCCAGCCAUGCCGCGUGAGUGAUGAAGGCCCUAGGGUUGUAAAGCUCUUUUGUGCGGGAAGAUAAUGACGGUACCGCAAGAAUAAGCCCCGGCUAACUUCGUGCCAGCAGCCGCGGUAAUACGAAGGGGGCUAGCGUUGCUCGGAAUCACUGGGCGUAAAGGGUGCGUAGGCGGGUCUUUAAGUCAGGGGUGAAAUCCUGGAGCUCAACUCCAGAACUGCCUUUGAUACUGAGGAUCUUGAGUUCGGGAGAGGUGAGUGGAACUGCGAGUGUAGAGGUGAAAUUCGUAGAUAUUCGCAAGAACACCAGUGGCGAAGGCGGCUCACUGGCCCGAUACUGACGCUGAGGCACGAAAGCGUG